GCAGAGCAGAGGAAUGACCCAUGGAAAUCUCACUGCCGCAUUGGGGUGCUCAAUCCAGGGAAACAUUCAAAGCUGCUCCUGUCUGUCAGCUAAAGAUGACAAAUAUUUAUCAUCUCUGGACACCCCUCCAGCCUCUGAAAUAUGUACUCCAGUCAUGAAGCAGAGAAUGUUAUAGAGAAGACAAAGAAUUAAAUGAACCUUCUGAGGACUUCAAGCCUGGCAAGCAGCCUCUCAGACAGCUCCGCCUGCUCCAAAAGAGGUAAAGGAGAAGCCAGAAUAUAUAGGAAUUUUACAACAAAAAAACAGGUGCUAAAUCCCAGCCAUACACCAGUGCUAUAUCAUUACAAGUCAAGGUCUAUUUCUGGGAGUGACUGUGUGUCUGACCAAAGAGAUGAGUAUCGAGGAAGAAGGCCUCCCUCGUCUAGGACACCAUUUUCUGGAAAAAAAUGAACAUCUGUAAGGACAGCCAGCUAGGCUGUUACAAGGCCUCCUCCUUCCAUCACCCCACAGGGAGUAAAUCUGGGCAGGGAAGGACCCAGCCAGAUGUGGAUGUCUGCAUGCUGCUGGGGCAACAUCCGCAUUUUUACAGAAAAAGACAGAUACCAUAUGAUCUCACUUGCACAUGGAAUCUAAAAACAAACAAAACAACUACCUCACAGAUACAGAAAACAGAUUGGUGGCUGCCAGAGCUGCUGCUUGCACAGUUGGAAUAACGUGCCACUAUGAGGUGGCUACUUCGUGAACCGGAGGUUCUCAUUCAGAGUAUAAAUUCAGAGGAAAGACAUCUUCAGGUAAAGAAGGAACAGAAAAUACCAAGUGGUUCUCCACAGGGACCUGUAUGUUUUUCACUACCUAUGGGAGGGAAGUGAAAACCUGUGUUUAGGGAUCCAUUGAAGAAUUUGGUGGUAUUCAUCCUAGUUCAGAGCAACCCCAUGCUGAGCAGAUUGCAUUCCAUCAUGAAAUAAUUGGUAUAGAGGACCUUGAAUAGGCAUGCUCCAUACUUCCAGCAUUUAGUAAAACUCAAAUGGCAGCUGUAAUGACAUUAGUUUAUCACUUCUCAUUCAUCAAAGACUAAAAGUAUUGGAGAAAUUCAUUGGAUAAUAUAACAUCCAUUACACCUUGACUCUGUAUCAGUGAUCAAAGGUGUAAAUACCAUAAGCACGACACUGAUGUUUAUACUCCAAAGUUUGACACCUCACUUUGGGCACAGGAAUAUUAAAAUGUUCUUAGCUAUAAUUCCUCUCCAAAUGUAAAAUUAAUCAUCAAGGCUUUCAAUAGCUUUACUUACUAUGCUGCACCUUAUUUUUUACAACAACCUAAGGAAAUACUCUAGCUACUGAGGCAGUGUUAUUGUAUGCCAAAAGGUGGAGGAGACUGCUAAUAAAGCAAAACCAACCCAAACCAAACCACCACCAACAACAAAACCCAGAAAACCAACUACUGAUAAUGCAGAGGUAAGUUUUUAUUAGGGGUUCUAAAGUGACAUAUGCCAGCUAAAUUAAACUUUUUAAGAUGGUGGAUUAGCCACAGAGUGAAAUCUUUCACACAGACCUCAAAGAAAUCAUAGAAAAGAGUUUUUUAAAAAAUGAUUAAAUACAUAUUUAUGCUUGGAAACCAAAGAAGAGAAUCUCUACAGAUUAGAAAGACAUACCUCAAAAUAGGAAACAAAUAGGAAGCGACAGUGGUAAAAAGAGGCCAAUGCUUUCAGAAAACUAUACUGGUCUAAAGGCAUAUAUAUACACAUAUAUAGGUACAUGUGUAUGUGUGCACACACAUUUGCAGGAAAGAUUUUAUGAAACAUACCAUCUAGUUGUUUAUACUACAAGGGUCAUUUAAAACCUGAACUUUAGGUUCUCCAAAUUUAGGUUAAUAUUGUUGAGAUUUAGGUGAUGUCCUAAGGAGAUCAUUUAGAAUUCAUGAUGGACAAAAAAGUCAUUCUUAGAAAAUGAAAAAACAAGAGCAAGACACCAAGCAUCUGAAAAUCUAACAUGUGAAGGAAGGAAAACACAAUGCACUUAUGGAAGAGUUUAAACUUGGAAAGAAGAGAAAUAAUGCAGCAAUUUGAAAAUGUUUUUAAUAUGUGUAUCUAGUACCCAGGAAGAUAGCAAAUAAAGAUAUAAAUAGUUAUUUGCUUUUUUUAUAAAAAAAUAUAGAAAAUAUGCUAUUGACCAAUGCCAGGCACAUAUUAAACACUUUAUGAAAUUCAGCCAUUAUUUUCUUUCACUAUAAUUUUGGCUUCAUGAAAGCAGAGAAUUUUGUUUGUUUUAUUUACUGCUAUGUUCUCCAGCAUGUAGAAGAAUUUCUUACACAUGGAACAAAAAUUGAACAACUAAUUUUUAGAUAAAAAGGCUCAGAGGAAAUGAACCCAACUAGCAUCCAUGAAGAUGUGGGUUCGAUCCCUGGCCCUCACUCAGUGGGUUAAGGAUUCGGAGUUGCCAUGAGCUGCAGUGUAGGUCACAGACGUGGCUCAGAUCUGGCAUUGCUGUAGCUGUGAUGUAGGCUGGCAGCUAUAACUUGGAUUAGACCCCUAGCCUGGGAACUUCCAUAUGCUACAGGUGUGGCCCUAAGCACCAAAAGAAAAAAAAA
rnacentral:lncRNA from 1 species